UAGGGAAUCUUCCACAAUGGACGCAAGUUUGAUGGAGCAACGCCGCGUGAGUGAAGAAGGUUUUCGGACCGUAAAGCCCUGUUGUUGGUGAAGAAGGAUAGAGGUAGUAACUGGCCUUUAUUUGACGGUAAUCAACCAGAAAGUCACGGCUAACUACGUGCCAGCAGCCGCGGUAAUACGUAGGUGGCAAGCGUUGUCCGGAUUUAUUGGGCGUAAAGCGAGCGCAGGCGGAAGAAUAAGUCUGAUGUGAAAGCCCUCGGCUUAACCGAGGAAUUGCAUCGGAAACUGUUUUCUUGAGUGCAGAAGAGGAGAGUAGAACUCCAUGUGUAGCGGUGGAAUGCGUAGAUAUAUGGAAGAAUACCAGUGGCGAAGGCGGCUCUCUGGUCUGCAACUGACGCUGAGGCUCGAAAGCAUGGGUAGCGAACAGGAUUAGAUACCCUGGUAGUCCAUGCCGUAAACGAUGAGUGCUAAGUGUUGGGAGGCUUCCGCCUCUCAGUGCUGCAGCUAACGCAUUAAGCACUCCGCCUGGGGGAGUACGACCGCAA
rnacentral:rRNA from 1 species